UACGUAGGGGGGCAAGCGUUGUCCGGAUUUAUUGGGGCGUAAAGAGCGUGUAGGCGGCUUUACAGGUCCGUUGUUGAAAACUCGAGGCUCAACCUCGAGACGCCGGUGGAAACCGUAAAGCUAGAGUCCGGAAGAGGAGAGUGGAAUUCCUGGUGUAGCGGUGAAAUGCGCAGAUAUCAGGAGGAACACCAAUAGCGAAGGCAGCUCGCUGGGACGUUACUGACACUGAGGCGCGAAAGCGUGGGGGAGCGAACAGG
rnacentral:rRNA from 1 species